rnacentral:rRNA from 1 species
CCUACGGGGGGCUGCAGUGGGGAAUAUUGGGCAAUGGGGGGAACCCUGAUCCAGCCAUGCCGCGUGUGUGAAGAAGGCCCUCGGGUUGUAAAGCACUUUCAGUGAGGAAGAACGCCUGGUGGUUAAUACCCAUCAGGAAAGACAUCACUCACAGAAGAAGCACCGGCUAACUCCGUGCCAGCAGCCGCGGUAAUACGGAGGGUGCGAGCGUUAAUCGGAAUUACUGGGCGUAAAGCGCGCGUAGGUGGCUUGAUAAGCCGGUUGUGAAAGCCCCGGGCUCAACCUGGGAACGGCAUCCGGAACUGUCAAGCUAGAGUGCAGGAGAGGAAGGUAGAAUUCCCGGUGUAGCGGUGAAAUGCGUAGAGAUCGGGAGGAAUACCAGUGGCGAAGGCGGCCUUCUGGACUGACACUGACACUGAGGUGCGAAAGCGUGGGUAGCAAACAGGAUUAGAUACCCUUGUAGUC